CACGUAGGGCGCAAGCGUUGUCCGGAAUUAUUGGGCGUAAAGGGCGCGUAGGCGGCCCUCCUUGUCGCGUGUGAAAGCCCCGGGCUCAACCUGGGAACGGCGCGCGAGACGGGGGGGCUGGAGUUCGGGAGAGGAGCGUGGAAUUCCCAGUGUAGAGGUGAAAUUCGUAGAUAUUGGGAAGAACACCGGUGGCGAAGGCGGCGCUCUGGACCGAGACUGACGCUGAGGCGCGAAAGCGUGGGGAGCAAACAGG
rnacentral:rRNA from 1 species